rnacentral:rRNA from 1 species
UGAAUAACCUGCCCUUAACUCUGGGAUAAGCCUGGGAAACUGGGUCUAAUACCGGAUAUGACUCCUCAUCGCAUGGUGGGGGGUGGAAAGCUUUAUUGUGGUUUUGGAUGGACUCGCGGCCUAUCAGCUUGUUGGUGAGGUAAUGGCUCACCAAGGCGACGACGGGUAGCCGGCCUGAGAGGGUGACCGGCCACACUGGGACUGAGACACGGCUCAGACUCCUACGGGAGCAG